rnacentral:rRNA from 1 species
CGGCAGGCUCGCCUGCCAACGGGGACCCACCACAAACCCAUUGUAGUACAAGAAGUACACGUCUGAACAAAACAAAACAAACUAUUUACAACUUUCAACAACGGAUCUCUUGGUUCUGGCAUCGAUGAAGAACGCAGCGAAAUGCGAUAAGUAGUGUGAAUUGCAGAAUUCAGUGAAUCAUCGAAUCUUUGAACGCACAUUGCGCCCUUUGGUAUUCCUUAGGGCAUGCCUGUUCGAGCGUCAUUUCAACCCUCAAGCCUAGCUUGGUGUUGGGCGUCUGUCCCGCCUCCGCGCGCCUGGACUCGCCUCAAAAGCAUUGGCGGCCGGUUCCCAGCAGGCCACGAGCGCAGCAGAGCAAGCGCUGAAGUGGCUGCGGGUCGGCGCACCAUGAGCCCCCCCACACCAGAAUUUUGACCUCGGAUCAGGUAGGGAUACCCGCUGAACUUAAGCAUAUCAAU